UGAUCCAGCCAUGCCGCGUGUGUGAAGAAGGCCCUCGGGUUGUAAAGCACUUUCAGCGAGGAAGAACGCCUGUCGGUUAAUACCCGGUAGGAAAGACAUCACUCGCAGAAGAAGCACCGGCUAACUCCGUGCCAGCAGCCGCGGUAAUACGGAGGGUGCAAGCGUUAAUCGGAAUUACUGGGCGUAAAGCGCGCGUAGGUGGCUUGAUAAGCCGGUUGUGAAAGCCCCGGGCUCAACCUGGGAACGGCAUCCGGAACUGUCAGGCUAGAGUGCAGGAGAGGAAGGUAGAAUUCCCGGUGUAGCGGUGAAAUGCGUAGAGAUCGGGAGGAAUACCAGUGGCGAAGGCGGCCUUCUGGACUGACACUGACACUGAGGUGCGAAAGCGUGGGUAGCAAACAGGAUUAGAUACCCUGGUAGUCCACGCCGUAAACGAUGUCGACCAGCCGUUGGGUGCCUAGCGCACUUUGUGGCGAAGUUAACGCGAUAAGUCGACCGCCUGGGGAGUACGGCCGCAAGGUUAAAACUCAA
rnacentral:rRNA from 1 species